GUGUGGGAGUGAGAAUGCAGGCAUGAGUAGCGAGUGAAGAGUGAGAAUCUCUUCCGCCGGAUGACCAAGGGUUCCUGGGGAAGGUUCGUCCGCCCAGGGUGAGUCGGGGCCUAAGGCGAGGCCGACAGGCGUAGUCGAUGGAUAACGGGUUGAUAUUCCCGUACCCGUGCAUACGCGUCCAUAGCGAAACCUUUGAUACUAACCAUCCGCUUGUCACAUGAGUCUUCGGACGAGUGUGAUGGGUGCAUGGGACCUGAUUGGGCGGUAGUUAAGUGAUGGGGUGACGCAGGAGGGUAGCUCUGCCAGUGAGUGGUUGUACUGGUGUAAGCCUGUAGCCCGGUGUGUAGGCAAAUCCGCACACCAUGUGGGUGAGGGGUGAUGCGUAGCCGUUGUGGUGAUGUGAGUGAUCCCAUGCUGUCGAGAAAAGCCUCUAGCGAGUGUGUGCAUGGCCCGUACCCGAAACCGACACAGGUGGUCAGGUAGAGUAUACCGAGGCGGUCGGGUGAACUGUGGUUAAGGAAUUCGGCAAAUUGCCCCCGUAACUUUGGGAGAAGGGGGGCCAUUGCUGGUGAACACCCUUGCGGUGGGAGCUGGUGGUGGUCGCAGAGGCCAGGGAGAAGCGACUGUUUACUAAAAACACAGGUCCAUGCGAAGCUGUAAGGCGAUGUAUAUGGACUGACGCCUGCCCGGUGCUGGAACGUUAAGAGGACCCGUGAACCCGUAAGGGUGUAGCGGAGAAUUUAAGCGCCAGUAAACGGCGGUGGUAACUAUAACCAUCCUAAGGUAGCGAAAUUCCUUGUCGGGUAAGUUCCGACCUGCACGAAUGGCGUAACGACUUCUCCGCUGUCUCGACCACAGGCCCGGUGAAAUUGCAGUACGAGUAAAGAUGCUCGUUUCGCGCGGCAGGACGGAAAGACCCCGGGACCUUUACUAUAGCUUGGUAUUGGUGUUUGGUUCGGCUUGUGUAGGAUAGGUGGGAGACUGUGAAGCAUUCACGCUAGUGGGUGUGGAGUCGUUGGUGAAAUACCACUCUGGUCGUUCUGGGCAUCUAACUCGGGUCCGUGAUCCGGAUCGGGGACAGUGCCUGGUGGGUAGUUUAACUGGGGCGGUUGCCUCCUAAAGGGUAACGGAGGCGCCCAAAGGUUCCCUCAGCCUGGUUGGCAAUCAGGUGUUGAGUGUAAGUGUAUAAGGGAGCUUGACUGUGAGACUGACGGGUCGAGCAGGUGCGAAAGCAGGGACUAGUGAUCCGGCACUGGCUGGUGGAAGCGGUGUCGCUCAACGGAUAAAAGGUACCCCGGGGAUAACAGGCUGAUCUUGCCCAAGAGUCCAUAUCGACGGCAUGGUUUGGCACCUCGAUGUCGGCUCGUCGCAUCCUGGGGCUGGAGUUGGUCCCAAGGGUUGGGCUGUUCGCCCAUUAAAGCGGCACGCGAGCUGGGUUUAGAACGUCGUGAGACAGUUCGGUCCCUAUCCGCCGCGCGCGUAGGAGACUUGCGGAAGGCUGUCCCUAGUACGAGAGGACCGGGAUGGACGAACCUCUGGUGUGCCAGUCGUUCUGCCAAGGGCGUGGCUGGUUGGCUAUGUUCGGGAGGGAUAACCGCUGAAAGCAUCUAAGCGGGAAGCCUGUUCCUAGAUGAGGUCUCCCACCCUUUGUGGGGUAAGGCCCCCAGUAGAUGACUGGGUUGACAGGCCAGAUAUGGAAGCACAGUAAUGUGUGGAGUUGACUGGUGCUGAUAGGCCGAGGACUUGUUCAC
rnacentral:rRNA from 1 species